UGAAAUACAUAUCAAAGUCAUCUUCAGACAGAAUGAAAUACAAUACAGUGUUGUAAAGUAUUGUAUUUCAUUCUGUCUGAAGAUGACUUUGAAAUAAAGUCGAA